GUAGGUGGCAAGCGUUGUCCGGAAUUAUUGGGCGUAAAGCGCGCGCAGGCGGUUCUUUAAGUCUGAUGUGAAGGCCCACGGCUCAACCGUGGAGGGUCAUUGGAAACUGGAGAACUUGAGUACAGAAGAGGAAAGCGGAGUUCCACGUGUAGCGGUGAAAUGCGUAGAGAUGUGGAGGAACACCAGUGGCGAAGGCGGCUUUCUGGUCUGUAACUGACGCUGAGGCGCGAAAGCGUGGGGAGCAAACAGGGAUUAGAUACCCUGGUAGUCCACGCCGUAAACGAUGAGUGCUAAGUGUUAGGGGGGUUUCCGCCCCCUUAGUGCUGCAGCUAACGCAUUAAGCACUCCGCCUGGGGAGUACGGCCGCAAGGCUG
rnacentral:rRNA from 1 species